rnacentral:lncRNA from 1 species
ACUCUCUGGGCUAGUUUUUCUCUCUCCUAAUGCUAUUGGUUACUUGCGCCUUGAGCUUUUGUUACGCGGAGGUUGGCCUAAUGAUUAGUUUUCCACAGUCAGCGAAAACGAAGCCUUUGAAUAAGAAAAUUAAUUUAAAUUAUAUUUCUUAUUUUAUAUAUUUAUUUACACAUGGACUCAAGGCGUAGGUCUUGGUCUUAAUGGCGGCUCGGCUGUUACACUAUGUCAAAGACUUGGAAACGUGUCAAACAGGUCAUCGGCUCAGCUUGGCUUGACCACAAGCCACGUAAGUGACAAAAAAGUCCUUUUCAAAAAAGAAUAUUUCAAGGAAAUGCCGCAGUUAAUGACCCUAUCGAAUCACGGAUUUUACUCAACCUGUUUUUACUACUUUGCGUGUGUAGUGGUGGUGGACGACUCGCUUUUGAACAGCUCACUUUUGUAUUGGGUGAGGGUAUAUUUGGAAUUUCGCUGCGAUUGUUGUGUGAAGAAACGGCAGCGUUUUGGGUGGGGUAAUGAUUCUGGUUGUGUUGAAAUGACGAAAAUGCCCUGGUGAUGGAUGGAUGUAUGGAUAGUGGGAAUUCAGUUGAGGAGCUUUCAAGUCUUUUCCUUGAGAUUUCUUUCAGGGUAUGCGUAAUGCGUAAUGCGUAAUGCGUAUCAUAUUCAUUCAUGUUAUUGUUUGGAGUACAAAUAGUCUUUUUC